GAAAUAUUAGUUAAAGUUAUAUAACAUUAUCUUGUCAAGAUAAAAUUAUUUAUAAAAAUAUAUUUCU
rnacentral:tRNA from 1 species